rnacentral:rRNA from 1 species
UACGGAGGGUGCGAGCGUUGUCCGGAAUCAUUGGGCGUAAAGGGCGCGUAGGUGGCCCGGUCAGUUCGUGGUGAAAGCGCGGGGCUCAACCCUGCGUCGGCCAUGAAUACUGCCGCGGCUGGAGCACUGUAGAGGCAGGCGGAAUUCCGGGUGUAGCGGUGGAAUGCGUAGAGAUCCGGAAGAACACCGGUGGCGAAGGCGGCCUGCUGGGCAGUUGCUGGACACUGAGGCGCGACAGCGUGGGGAGCAAACAGG